CCGCGUUCCUUCCCCGUUGUCAUCAGAGGCAGAAAGUCACAUCAGGCUUCCUGUGCGAGCCUGGACAACUUAGGAGCCAGUGCUGUUUCUCAUCCUUGUGUUUCUUGGGAACAAAUGAACAGAGAGAGGCUUUACCUGAAUGAGCCAUGGAUCGUCCCUGGCGCCCUGACCUUGGGCAGCCCCUCACUGGCUCACCGCAUACUCUUCCCAGCACCCCCAGGCACCAUCCUCCUCCCCUCACCUUCCUCUACCCUCUCUCCCCGCAG
rnacentral:lncRNA from 1 species